rnacentral:snRNA from 1 species
ACAGUUAACCUGCAGGGGAGAUACCGUGAUUAUGAAGGUGAUUUUCUCGGGAUGAAGCUCAUCUGUUGCACUCUGGGUGUACUGUCCCCUGUGAUUUCCUCAAAUGUGGAAAACUUGACUGUAUAACUUGUGGUAGUGGGGAAAUAGGCUCAUGCUCUCUCCCCG